CCUUGACCAAUUAGCUAGCAUUUUAUC
rnacentral:piRNA from 1 species